rnacentral:rRNA from 1 species
GAUCAUGGCUCAGGAUGAACGCUAGCGGCAGGCCUAACACAUGCAAGUCGAGGGGUAGUUACUUUCGGGUAAUGAGACCGGCGCACGGGUGCGUAACGCGUAUGCAAUCUACCUUUUACAGGGGAAUAGCCCAGAGAAAUUUGGAUUAAUGCCCCAUAGUAUGUAUGAAUCGCAUGGUUUAUAUAUUAAAGUUCCAACGGUAAAAGAUGAGCAUGCGUCCCAUUAGUUAGUUGGUAAGGUAACGGCUUACCAAGACGAUGAUGGGUAGGGGUCCUGAGAGGGAGAUCCCCCACACUGGUACUGAGACACGGACCAGACUCCUACGGGAGGCAGCAGUGAGGAAUAUUGGUCAAUGGUCGCAAGACUGAACCAGCCAUGCCGCGUGCAGGAAGACGGUCCUAUGGAUUGUAAACUGCUUUUAUACAGGAAGAAACCCUCCCACGUGUGGGAGCUUGACGGUACUGUAGGAAUAAGGAUCGGCUAACUCCGUG